GUUGCUAAUUUAUUGUUUUGUUUGUUGAUCCUGUUUUUUUUUAGUUGUCACUCUUAUGUAUAUUGGUCGGUUUUAAAUUGAACAGUGUUACUGUGCGUUUCCACCGUUAUUUUUGAAUUCGGGAUAUUUUUAAUGUUUGUUUUGUAAGUUAGCACAGAGGCGUUUUUAGCAGAACAGCUUCCGUGUUUUGUGGCUAAUGUAGCUCUGCAGAGGUUUAAGGGGCCAUUCCCUGGAAAAAUCUGCUUCGUGUUCAUGAAGGAGCCACAUGAGCCCAAAGGAGCAGAAGACAAGUGCUGUGUUUCUUUUAGUGUCUUCUACAGUAGUUUAAUGCUGGAUUCGUCUCACAGGAGGUGUGUGUUUGUUGCCGUCGCCAAGGAUCAUCAGCUGUUUGACCAAGAAACAUGAUGUCAAUCGAAAAGGAACCUCACUUGUUGGAUGACUGUGACAAAGAAUUCAUUACAACCAGUCAAUUACAGACUAAUCAGGGAGUUCUCACUGAAGAAAAACUGCACACAUGUGAGGAGUGUGGGAAAACAUUCUCUCUGUUGUCUGACCUUAGUUGUCACCGGCUCGUUCACAUUGAAGAGAAACAGAAUCACUGCACUGAAUGCGGGAAAUGUUUCACCCGACGGAUAAACCUAAUUGCCCACCAACGUAUCCACACUGGAGAGAAGCCGUACAGUUGUGAGUAGUGUGGGAACACAUAUCACAGGAAACUACAACUAACAAUUCAUCAAAGAGUUCACACUGGAGAGAAACCCUAUUUCUGUGAGGAGUGUGGGAAAACAUUUGACAUAUUUCAUAACUAUAAAAAUCACAUGCGCAUACACUCUGGAUAUCGGCCGUACAGCUGCGAGGAUUGUGGUAAAGCAUUCAUUACACUUUCUCACCUCAAGCGUCAUCAGCUCAUUCAUAACGUAGAGAAGGAGCAUCGUUGUAGUGACUGUGGGAGAAGGUUCGUUCAGCAGGAAAGCCUAAUCGUACACAAACGUGUCCACACUGGAGAGAAACCGUACGCUUGUGAGCAGUGUGGGAAGAGCUUUGCAGAUCGGAGUAAUUUCAAAAGGCACAUAAACACCCACACCAGAGAAACUGUCUUCCACUGUAAACACUGCCAUAAAAUGUUAACUUCCUACAACGGGCUGAAAAUUCAUGAACAUAUUCACACUGGGGACAAACGCUACAAGUGCAAACACUGUGACAAAGCUUUCAGCACAUCAUCACAUCUCAUGUAUCACAGCAAUAUUCACACCGGACACAAACCGUACUGGUGUGACCGCUGUCAGAGAAACUUCACCUGGUCUGUGCAGGUGAAGAAUCAUAAGUGUGUCCAAGAGGUUCCAUCAUGUCUCAACACUUCAACAUAGUCUAAACCAGGCUGAGAAGGAGAAGACAAGUGCAAAUAACUCAGAUGAGUUUUCACAGCUUUAUAUGUUACAGACCACACAUGUUGAUUUCAGGUUUACUGAUGCAAAAAGAGAGUCCAUUUAAAUUUAAUGAGCAACAGGUUUUAAAGGAACCUCAUGAAGAUGAUUAAAACAUUAGGCUGCAACUGACCUAAUUAAUAUAAAUCCUCAAUUUCCUGAGGGCUCUUCAAGCUGCAGUUUUGGUC